rnacentral:rRNA from 1 species
CCAUGCUGUAAACGUUGUCUACUAGCCGUUGGGGGACAUGAUUCCUUAGUGGCGCAGCUAACGCGAUAAGUAGACCGCCUGGGGAGUACGGUCGCAAGACUAAAACUCAAAUGAAUUGACGGGGGCCCGCACAAGCGGUGGAGCAUGUGGUUUAAUUCGAAGCAACGCGAAGAACCUUACCAGGGCUUGACAUAUGCAUGACCGGUGUAGAGAUACACCUUUCUCUUCGGAGACAUGUUUACAGGUGGUGCAUGGUUGU